rnacentral:miRNA from 1 species
UCUCUGCUCUGCUCUCCCCAG